ACGUAGGAUCCAAGCGUUAUCCGGAUUUACUGGGCGUAAAGAGUUGCGUAGGUGGUUUGUUAAGUAAAUAGUGAAAUCGUGUGGCUCAACCAUACAUCCAUUAUUUAAACUGGCAGACUUGAGAAUGAGAGAGGUAGCUGGAAUUGCUAGUGUAGGAGUGGAAUCCGUAGAUAUUAGCAGGAACACCGAUGGCGUAGGCAGGCUACUGGCUCAUUUCUGACACUAAGGCACGAAAGCGUGGGGAGCAAACAGGA
rnacentral:rRNA from 1 species